rnacentral:rRNA from 1 species
UAUCAAUAAGCGGAGGAAAAGAAACCAACAGGGAUUGCCUCAGUAACGGCGAGUGAAGCGGCAACAGCUCAAAUUUGAAAUCUGGCCCCCCUCGGGAGGUCCGAGUUGUAAUUUGCAGAGGAUGCUUUUGGCGAGGCGCCUUCCGAGUGCCCUGGAACGGGACGCCGGAGAGGGUGAGAGCCCCGUACGGUCGGACGCCGAGCCUCUGUAAAGCUCCCUCGACGAGUCGAGUAGUUUGGGAAUGCUGCUCUAAAUGGGAGGUAAACCCCUUCUAAAGCUAAAUACCGGCCAGAGACCGAUAGCGCACAAGUAGAGUGAUCGAAAGAUGAAAAGCACUUUGAAAAGAGAGUUAAACAGCACGUGAAAUUGUUGAAAGGGAAGCGCUUGUGGCCAGACUUGCGCCCGGCGGCUCAGCCGUCCCUCGUGGGCGGUGCACUCCGCCGGGCUCAGGCCAGCAUCAGCUCGCGGUUGGGGAGAAAGGCGGCGGGAACGUGGCUCUUCGGAGUGUUAUAGCCCGCCGCCAUGCCCUUCCGCGGGCUGAGGUUCGCGCUCCGCAAGGAUGCUGGCGUAAUGGCCAUCAGCGACCCGUCUUGAAACACGGACCAAGGAGUCGUCCUAGCAUGCGAGUGUUCGGGUGCAAAACCCCUACGCGAAAUGAAAGUGAACGGAGGUGAGAGCUUCGGCGCAUCAUCGACCGAUCCUGAUGUUCUCGGAUGGAUUUGAGUAGGAGCAUGCUGGGCCGGACCCGAAAGAAGGUGAACUAUGCUUGGAUAGGGCAAAGCCAGAGGAAACUCUGGUGGAGGCUCGCAGCGGUUCUGACGUGCAAAUCGAUCGUCAAAUCUGAGCAUGGGGGCGAAAGUAAGUUCUUCCGGCGGGCGAACGCAGCGGAUUUUAGGUGGGCGGAGUGCUAACGUGCAGCAGGACUAAUCGAACACUUCUAGUAGCUGGUUUCCGCCGAGAGUUUCCGCGUCAGGAUAGCAGUGUUCGAGCGUUCAGUUGUUAUCGAGGUAAAGCGAAUGAUUAGGGANUCGGGGGCGCUAUUUAGCCUUCAUCCAUUCUCAAACUUUAAAUAUGUAAGAAGCCCUCGUUGCUUCGGUGAACGUGGGCAUUCGAAUCGUAUCCAACACUAGUGGGCCAUUUUUGGUAACGCUAGAACUGGCGAUGCGGGAUGAACCGAUCGCGACGGAUAAGGUCGCCAGAGUACGAACGUCUCAUCAGACAGCCACUAAAGGUGUUAUCACAUUAUUGACAGCAGGACGGUGGCCAUGGAAGUCGGAAUCCGCUAAGGACUCGUGUAAGUACNAAUUUNUAAUUUUUUUUCUCUCUCACUCUCGCUUUCNCGGGCAUGCUGGGGGAAUAGUUGCGGUCGAGCAUGCCCGGAAGUACGUACAGUGAGAUCAGGCGAGGGGCUGAGGUAGAAUGAUGCGCGAGCGCGUGCUAACCUUUCCAUUUUAUAGGUAACAACUCACCUGCCAGAAUGUGAUAGCCCUGAAAAUGGAUGGCGCUCAAGCGUCUCACC